GCCCUUAGAGUUUGAUCCUGGCUCAGAUUGAACGCUGGCGGCAUGCCUUACACAUGCAAGUCGAACGGUAACAGGUCUUCGGAUGCUGACGAGUGGCGAACGGGUGAGUAAUACAUCGGAACGUGCCCGAUCGUGGGGGAUAACGAGGCGAAAGCUUUGCUAAUACCGCAUACGAUCUACGGAUGAAAGCGGGGGAUCUUCGGACCUCGCGCGGACGGAGCGGCCGAUGGCAGAUUAGGUAGUUGGUGGGAUAAAAGCUUACCAAGCCGACGAUCUGUAGCUGGUCUGAGAGGAUGAUCAGCCACACUGGGACUGAGACACGGCCCAGACUCCUACGGGAGGCAGCAGUGGGGAAUUUUGGACAAUGGGCGAAAGCCUGAUCCAGCCAUGCCGCGUGCAGGAUGAAGGCCUUCGGGUUGUAAACUGCUUUUGUACGGAACGAAAAGCCUCUUUCUAAUAAAGAGGGGUCAUGACGGUACCGUAAGAAUAAGCACCGGCUAACUACGUGCCAGCAGCCGCGGUAAUACGUAGGAUGCAAGCGUUAAUCGGAAUUACUGGGCGUAAAGCGUGCGCAGGCGGUUUUGUAAGACAG
rnacentral:rRNA from 1 species